UUUCGUCAACACAACACACGCGCGCGGGGGCGUUGUGCAGGAGGGUCCCGCUUGAUCCAUGUUAUUUGCUGUGAUUUUAUUUUCUCUGAACGUAGCUUGACUUGAAAUUAGGUGCUGAAUAAACGAUUCACCAGCUUGAUAAGUCGCCGCCAUGGCCGAGGCACACUCGGCAGUUGCCUUCAGCUUCUCGGUGUCGCACGAGGGCGUCGACCUCAACUACGACCAUGAGAUGCUCGGCGUGGUGCUCAUGUCAGGCGUGCGCUCCUGGAGACGGCGCAUCCACCGCUUCUUCAACGGUUUCCGUAACGGCAUCUACCCGGUGCCGCUGUCCAGUCUGGGACUGACGGUGGCCACCGUCGGCGCCAUGUACUACGCCGGCUACGACGGCACCGGCGGACUCACCGACUUCUUCAUGAGACACGCGCCGCGACUGGUGUCUGCCGAGGAGCACGUGCUGAAGGCCGUGUCGGUGACGGCCGCCAGCACCACCAUCUGGCUCAGCGUGGCGCUGGCGCUCAAAUACACCCUGCGUCUGCUCUUCAUGUACAGGGGGUGGAUGUAUGAGACCCGCACCCGCAAAAUGUCGCUCAAAACCAAGAUCUGGUAUGUUCUGGUGAAGAUUCUCACCAGCAUCAGCCGUCCUCAGCUGUACAGUUUCCAGGGCUGUCUGCCCAGCCUGCCGCUGCCCAGUGUCGAGGACACCACCAAACGGUACCUGCGCUCGGUGCGUCCCCUGCUCGAUGACGCCGAGUACGAGCGGAUGGUGAAACUGACGGAGGAGUUCCGCACCUCGCUCGGGCCGCGGCUGCAGCGCUACCUCUGGCUCAAGUCAUGGUGGACCACCAACUACGUGUCUGACUGGUGGGAGGAGUACGUCUACCUGCGCGGCCGCAGCGGCAUCAUGGUCAACUCCAACUUUUACGGCAUCGACGCCAUCCUGAUGCAGCCGUCCACCAUCCAGGCGGCUCGGGCGGCCAACAUCACACACGCCACCAUGCUGUUCCGGCGCGCCAUCGACCGGCAGGAGAUCGAGCCGAUUACGGUGCAGGGUAUGGUGCCGCUGUGCUCGUGGCAGUACGAGCGGACCUUCAACACCACCCGCGUCCCGGGCAUCGAGACGGAUCGGAUCGUCCAUUACAGCGACUCGACACACAUUGUCGUCAUCCACAACGGCAAGUACUACAAGAUGCAGGUGUAUGACAUCAAGAAGCGGCUCAUGUCGCCGGCCACACUCGAAAUGCAGUUCCAGCGGAUCCUGGACGACGACGAGACGACGCCCGACAAGGGCGAGGAGCAGCUGGGCGCGCUGACGGCCGCCGACCGCUCUCACUGGUACCUGACGCGGCGCGACUUCUUCAGCCGCGGCACCAACCGCGCCAGCCUGCUGGCCAUCGAGAAGGCCGCCUUCAUCGUCUGCCUCGACGACGUCGAUCUCGAGUUCGACAAGAACGACCAUACCAAGCUGGACGAGUUCGGCCGCUGGUGUCUGCACGGCAACGGCUGCAACCGCUGGUACGACAAGUCGCUCAACCUGAUCGUCGGCAGGAACGGACGGAUCGGCUUCAACGGCGAGCACUCGUGGGCGGACGCGCCCGUUCUGAGCCUUGUCUGGGAGACGGCCAUGAUAAAAGAUAGAUUCUUCCUCGGAUACACGGAGAGCGGCCACACGAUCGGCGAGGCCGACCCGGACGCCAUCCCGCCGGUGAAGCUGCGCUGGGACCUCAAACGAAAGUGUCUGGACGCCAUCGACCGCAGCUACCGGGAGGCGCAGCUGACCCUGGAUGACGUCGACCUGCGCCUGCUGAUGCACGACGCCUUCGGAAAGGGCUUCAUGAAAAAGUGCAAAGUGAGCCCGGACGCCUUCAUCCAGAUGGCGCUGCAGCUCGCCUACUACCGGGACUCUGGCCGGUUCCGUCUGACGUACGAGGCGUCGAUGACGCGCCUGUUCCGCGAGGGUCGCACAGAGACGGUCCGGCCCUGCACCAUCGAGUCCUCCGCCUGGGUCAAGGCCAUGACCUCGGGCAAAGUGGACCGCGCCGAGCAGAUCCGUCUGUUCCGCGCGGCGUGCGACUUCCACCAGCGCGGCUACCAGGACGCCAUGAUGGGAAAGGGCAUCGACCGUCACCUGUUCUGCCUGUACGUGGUCUCCAAGUACCUCGAGGUCGACUCGCCCUUCCUCAAGGAGGUUCUGAGCGAGCCGUGGCGCCUCUCCACCUCUCAGACGCCGCACGGCCAGACCAACCUGCUCGACCUGAAGAAGCACCCGGGCUGCGUGUCGGCCGGCGGCGGCUUCGGGCCGGUGGCCGACGACGGCUACGGCGUCAGCUACAUCAUCGCCGGAGAGGACAUCGUCUUCUUCCACGUCAGCAGCAAGAAGAGCUCCGCAGACACGGACUCGAACCGCCUGGCCGGCCAGAUCCAGCGCGCCCUGGCAGAUAUCCGCACCAUGUUCGAACAGGGCGGACAGUGACGUCACCCACAUACACCUCUAGUGACGUCAUAUUCACCCGUAGCCGUAGACGCGGGCCCACACCCACACAUAGAGACUGGGGCCAUAUCCCGAGACGAUAGGUCAUUUAGACCGAACAGGCAGCAGAGAUGGAAAGCAUCCAGACAACACACACUUUAAGCUGAGCGUUACGACGUUACGGCAAAGCGUUUCAUCUCGUGACACUUACUCUCGGCACUGUUCGUCCGCGUCCGCCCUUACCGCGUGCCUGGUGCGGCGGCCGGUAGUCUGACAGACUGACUGACAGACUGCGUGGCCGGCAGUCUGACCGACUGACUGACUGUGCGGUGGCCGGUAGUCCGACUAACAGACUGCGGCGUGGAUGGCGCGCGAGAGACGGGUAGUGGUCGCCCGGGGGGCCGCGCGCGACCUGCGGGUCACUCUGACCCGCGUCCAACAAUGCAAUGCGCCGGUGGGAGCUCUAUGUGACGGCGGCCCGGGAGGGGGAGGGGGAGGGGGGGUUCUCUGUAGUGACCGAUAUCAAUGCAAUACGGCGGCGAGCGCUGAGGCCCGAGACGGCCACCUCUGUUUUAGAACGCCGGACCGAGUGCGAGGUAUUUUGACGACUCUUUCAGCGCGAGGUUUUACUGGUAGGACGGGGUCCGGCGGCGCCCGAUUUCGACUAUGUAGUUUGUGUGCCGUGUGCGCGGUAGCUGUGUCUGUGUGUCUGUGAGUGAACUGGUGAGCCGCCCGGCGAGGUUUGUCCCCAAUAUAGCUCAGACGUCGGUUCGGCACUCUGCGCUGGAGACUGGACGAGGUUUGUCCCCAAUAUAGCUCAGACGUCGGUACGGCACUCUGCGCUGGAUACGGGACGAGGUUUGUCCCCAAUAUAGCUCAGACGUCGGUACGGCACUCUACGCUGGAGACUGGACGAGGUUUGUCCCCAAUAUAGCUCAGACGUCGGUACGGCACUCUGCGCUGGAGACUGGACGAGGUUUGUCCCCAAUAUAGCUCAGACGUCGGUACGGCACUCUGCGCUGGAUACGGGACGAGGUUUGUCCCCAAUAUAGCUCAGACGUCGGUACGGCACUCUACGCUGGAGACUGGACGAGGUUUGUCCCCAAUAUAGCUCAGACGUCGGUACGGCACUCUGCGCUGGAGACUGGACGAGGUUUGUCCCCAAUAUAGCUCAGACGUCGGUACGGCACUCUGCGCUGGAGACUGGACGAGGUUUGUCCCCAAUAUAGCUCAGACGUCGG